rnacentral:tRNA from 1 species
GGAGCUAUAGGGUAGUGGCAAUCCUGAUGGACUUUCGAUCCGUCGACCCGGGUUCGAGUCCCGGUAGUUCCA